rnacentral:lncRNA from 1 species
AGGUGACACCAGAGGUGGCAUGAUUAAUUUGAGUGACAAAGGGCACUAGAGUGAUGUAACGUGAUUAUAUGCUGCUAUUUUCCUUUUUUGUUCUUUCUUUCUUUUUUUAGGGUCGCACCCAUGGCAUAUGGAGUUUCCCAGGUUAGGGGUGGAAUCAGAGCUGUAGCUACUGGCCUACACCACAGGCACAUCAAUGUUAGAUCCGAGCUGCGUUUGUGACCUACACCACAGCUCAGAGCAAUGCUGGAUCCUUAACCCACUGAGCGAAGCCAGGGAUCAAACCAUUGCCCUCAUGGAUGCUAGUCAGAUCCAUUUCUGCUGAACUGAUGGGAACUCCUACUAUUUCCCUUAUAACCUGCUUUUUGUAGUCCUUUCCUACGUGCUCCCAAACGGAGAGCUUCAAUUUCCAUUCUCCCUGCUUUUCCUGGGUUCCCAGCUUCUCUUUCCUUUCAUUUACAAAAUCCUCCCACCAACUUUGCUAUAUCAUGCUCAUUUUGUCACAACAAGCCUCGUGUUUAAAUUACUAUGUAAUCCCAAGAUGUAGAAACUUUGAGUUUGUUCUUUGAUAACAUUAGAUCUUAUCCACAUGUACGACUUUGGUGGAAAAUUCACUCUUCUCUUAGUCAUCUGCUGUACUUUCCCAGGGUUCAGAGGGAAGAAAUGUGGUUUGGUAAGAACAUAUAGGCUGCACCUCCAUGGGAAGAAAUUCAGGUCAUGUGUGUGUGCAUGUAUAGGUCAAAAACUGUCCAAUUUAUUGUGGUUCAUCCUUAGAGCUUUGGCCUCCUACCCCAGGAGAGAACUUAAGUGUUCAAGAACGUGGGGUUUCCAGCUUCGUAAAUAAAUUGAACUGAAUUCUUGUCAUUCCCACAUUUUUGACACUGGUUCCGCAGUUCAUGACUUUGCCACAGGCCCUCUGAGGCUGAACUCCAACUUCUUACAAACCUUGUAUACAUGUCGACACACGUUGGCUCUUUUAACCACCCUAAGACCACCUAACAUCAGUUGAGAAUAUUAGAAAGACUGAAACAAAUACAUAUUAAAGAUUUUUUUAGGGCUGCACCUGCCGCAUAUGGAAGUUCCUGGGCUAGGGAGCAAAUUGGAGCUGUAGCCAUCAGCCUACGCCACAGUCACAGCGAUGCCAAAUCUGAGCCUCAUCUGUGACCUGUGCCUCAGCUUGAAACAAUGCUGGAUCUUUAACCCACUGAGUGAGGCCAGGGAUCAAACCUACAUCCUCAUGACACUAUGUCAGGUUCUUAACCCAAUGAGCCACAGUGGGAACUCCCUACAUGAAGGAUUAUUAAAAAUAGAUAUCAUACUUAAUGCUAGAGAAUGUCACGGUCUUUUGUUAAAUUUCACUUCAUCUGUGAAAUGGGUACACUAUUUAGCACAAUUAGACUUCGUGAGGAUGGAAAGCAUCUGGGUCAAGAGUACGUAUGCCUGAGGUCAGAUUUCUGAGGCUGGAACUGAGGUCAGAACGAGCAGGGCCUGGUUCCCAAAGAAAACUUGGGGUUAAUAUUACUAUUGUCACCUAGCUAUCAAGUCCCAGAGUGGAUAUCAUUCAUUCCGGAGUUUUCUGAAUUUCCUCCAUGAUAAAUCCUGGGGUACUUUCUAAACACACAGCUUCCCCAGCUCAUUUCCCAGCUCUUCCCUAGAAAUGGGACAUGGACUAUGGCUGCUAAACUUGUAUUUAAGGCGACCCUCUAAGUGAUUCUUAUCAUCAGGGAUGUUAGGGAAACAUGAACCCUGUUUGCUCAGCUGGAAGCAGCUGUCUCUUUCUUUGAUCUCGCUAAGAACUCCUUGUAUUCUCUUUAAUCCAUUUCUACUUUGCAGUAUUAUUAUUUUUGUAAUGUACAUGUCUUUAUCUCUACUAAUGAUAGCCAACACUUCCGGAGCUCUCAUUAGGUGCUAGACAUGAUGUGAAGUGCUUUACAUACAUUAUCUUACCUAAUCCCCCAUCCACCCUUUCAUCAGCUGCUGAUGAAGAAAUUAAUAGCAAAUAUUCUAUGGCGUGACUUGAAAAUGUGCCAUGCCUGAAGCUAGACACCUCUCACUUAUUAUCUCAUUUUUUUUCUGCACAGAAGCCCUCUGGGAUGGAUGAGCAUCCCUAGUUUAAAGGAGGAGUAGCUAGGUUCAGAGAGGCAAAGCAACUUCUCCAAGGACACUCAGCCUGGGUGGUGGGGAGAGAAAGAACGAAGGAGCUGAUCAAUGGCAGAAAGAGAGGAGCAGGAUAAAGCUCCUGAUGUUGGCAGGAAGAACAUGACUUCUGCAAACUGAUGCCACUCUUGGUAACUUCAGAGACCAUCCCUACCCAGAGGCAGUGACCAUAGAGGGAUGAUUUACUGCCUGUCUUAUUGCAUUCCUGGAGGUGCAGACAGCUGUGGCCCCCAUCUGGGCACCUGGGGAGAGGAACGGAGGAAGUGAAGGCAGGCCCUCUGCACUCUAGCGAUGUGUUGAAUUUAGAAAAAUACUAAGAACGGUUUCUCUAGCUGGGCAUGGGUCAGGAGCCCCAUUAAAAGUGGCAGAUGCCUUUAGGGGCUUGGAUAUAUUUGGAAAACCUUCAUAUGAUUAUAAUGGUUCCUAGUUAACAAAGCAUUUAUUAAUCAAAUAUUUACUGACCACAAAAGGAGAUGAAUUUGGUGCAGAUUUGGCCCUUAAGGAACAAGGAAGAAAAUUUAUCUUCUUCUUUCCUCCUCCUCCUCUCACUCCUCUUCCUUCUUUCCUUUUUAGGGCUGCAUCCACGGCAUAUGGAAGUUCCCUGGAAUAGGGGUAGAAUCAGACUUGCAGCUGCAGGCCUACACCACAGCCAUAGCAAUGUGGGUCCCAAGCCUUAUAUGCAGCCUACGCCACAGCUUAAAGCAACACUGGAUCCGUAAUCCACUGAGCGAGGCCAGGGAUAGAACCCACAUCCUUGUGAACACUAUGUCCGGUUCUUAACCCACUGAGCCACAAUAGGAACUCCCAAGAAGAAUUACCCAUCAUUCCCUUUUCAGGUAAGGAAAGGGAGCAAAAGAAAAAAAAAAGUUGCCUCCCCCUCCAAAAAUUUUUUGUUCCAUGUCCUAUGUACUUAUGAAUGGCAGCUCUGUGCUCUAAAUAAUACAUACUAAGACCUUGACUUUUCCUUCCACGCUGUACUUCCUCGGCUUUGCCCACUCCCCCAGUUGAGGUUUAAACCUUGAUCUGGCCCUGACUUCCAGGCACCAGCCCUCUUUUGGAAGGAAGAAGAAUUGCUGUAGAAUCAUUCCAUACUGUGAAGAACUGCAAUUUAAAACUUCAAUGUAUGCAGAAUGCGGAAUUUAGGAGCCUUGUCAGUCCUGUAUGAGCAAAGAGAAUAAUUGAUCAGUGGCAAACUUCUCUUUAAAAACACUUCACAUCCUAAAAGAUACUCAUCAUUUACAUAUGAACUGGCACUUUGGAGUUUCUGAGCACUUGGUACCCAUUAUCCCAUUGAGCCACCCAGAAGUCUAGUGAGAUGGAUGAGGAGAGAGAGACCCUGAGAGGCUCAGUACCUUCCCCAACGUCUCCUGGAGUCUGGGAAUUCAUUGCUUCAUUCACCAGCCUCACUGCUACUCUAAUCAAAUCACCCUUCAGAUUUCUGUUUGCUUGACUGAAAACCCCCAUUUCUCAUAGGAAUUUUUUCCCCUGCCUUCAAUCAUCUCAGAUGUGGGGGAGAAAUGCAGCUCUAUUAAAGAAUGAUUCCAUCAAAUUCCAGAGCAGAAGCCUAGCAAGAGAUGAAGUGUUUCUGGUUGAGAACUCCUCAUUCUUCUGAGUUCAUGCCAAGUCCAAGAGCCUUCUUGUACCACAAUGGAGGAGAAGAAAAUCUCAAAGUGUCCUCGGAGGCGACCAAGCUCCAGACUGUUCUGAUAAUUAGAGUCACCAGUCAUUCUUCAUACUGGAGUUUUACGAUGACUUUCGUCCAAGGCCGUCAUACUUUUAACUGGAUCCUAGCCGUUGGGAGAUGCUUCUGAUACAUCUGGAACACCAGCUAGGAGCACAGGAUAGGGAAUUAGAAUUUUUUUCAGGGCAAAUGACAUAAAGGAGACAACCGACAUGUCCUGAUUCCUCCUGCAUCAACAAUUCACCUUAUAGCCAAGGAAAGCACCAGUCAUCUGGGGAUGAGGACACAGGCAGCAAGAAGAUUAAAUGAGAUACUGAACAGAAAAGGCACAGUGCAUGCAUCUGUGGAGGACUCAGUGAAAAAUGAAGCAAAGAAGAUUCAAAUGGGAGUUCCCAUUGUGGCUCAGCGGUAACAAACCCGAAUAGUAUCCAUGAGGAUUCAGGUUUGAUCCCUAGCCUUGAUCAGUGGGUUAAGGAUCCAGCAUUACUGUGAGCUG